rnacentral:siRNA from 1 species
GAAGAUACCUUAUUGAAGUGCUG